UGGCAAGGCUUCCAGCAUGGCCGGAUCUUCCCCGUGACCCGGAUCAUUCCUGUAGCGCUUGCAAGAGCAACAACUGAGACGGUUUGAGGCCUCCCUCUGCUCCACUUCGGAGGGCGGUUAUAGAAAUCCCAGACAAGC